UCCAACUUAAUACCAUAAUUAUAUUAAACUCCUACAAACUACCGGACAAAUCUACAACAUAGAUACUCAAAUGUUAAAACUAGUAAUAAGAAAAAUUUCUCUUCCGCACAAGUAAACACUAACAGACACAACAACUGAACACACAACAACACAAGAAAAUCCACACUACCCAAACUGUUAACCCACCUCAGGAGUGCAUAAAGAAAGAUUAAAAGUUACAAAAGGAACUCGGCAACCAAAGUCCCAACUGUUUACCAAAAACAUAGCCUUUAGCCAAACAAGUAUUAAAGGUGAUGCCUGCCCAGUGAUUCUUUCAACGGCCGCGGGAUCCUACACCGUGCAAAGGUAGCAUAAUCACUUGUCACCUAAAUAGUGACUAGUAUGAACGGCCCAAUGAGGACUUUCCUGUCUCUUGUAAUCAAUCAAUGAAACUGAUCUCCCAGUUCAAAAGCUGGGAUCAACCCACAAGACGAAAAGACCCUGUGGAACUUCCAAGUGCUAGUCAAUAACAUGAUAAACCACUUUUAGUUGGGGCAACUUUGGAACAAAGCAAAACUUCCAAUAUAGGGACAAUACACCGUAAAUCCAGGCCUACACGCCGAAAUUUAAACCCGAAUCGACCCAGUACUACUGAUUAAAGAAACAAGCUACCCCAGGGAUAACAGCGCCAUCCCCUCUUAGAGUCCCAAUCGACGAGGGGGCUUACGACCUCGAUGUUGGAUCAGGGCCCCCAAACAGUGCAGCAGCUGUAAAGGUUUGU
rnacentral:rRNA from 1 species